GGGUUGUGAGGUUAAGCGACUAAGCGUACACGGUGGAUGCCCUGGCAGUCAGAGGCGAUGAAGGACGUGCUAAUCUGCGAUAAGCGUCGGUAAGGUGAUAUGAACCGUUAUAACCGGCGAUUUCCGAAUGGGGAAACCCAGUGUGAUUCGUCACACUAUCAUUAACUGAAUCCAUAGGUUAAUGAGGCGAACCGGGGGAACUGAAACAUCUAAGUACCCCGAGGAAAAGAAAUCAACCGAGAUUCCCCCAGUAGCGGCGAGCGAACGGGGAGCAGCCCAGAGCCUGAAUCAGUGUGUGUGUUAGUGGAAGCGUCUGGAAAGGCGCGCGAUACAGGGUGACAGCCCCGUACACAAAAAUGCACAUGCUGUGAGCUCGAUGAGUAGGGCGGGACACGUGGUAUCCUGUCUGAAUAUGGGGGGACCAUCCUCCAAGGCUAAAUACUCCUGACUGACCGAUAGUGAACCAGUACCGUGAGGGAAAGGCGAAAAGAACCCCGGCGAGGGGAGUGAAAAAGAACCUGAAACCGUGUACGUACAAGCAGUGGGAGCACGCUUAGGCGUGUGACUGCGUACCUUUUGUAUAAUGGGUCAGCGACUUAUAUUCUGUAGCAAGGUUAACCGAAUAGGGGAGCCGAAGGGAAACCGAGUCUUAACUGGGCGUUAAGUUGCAGGGUAUAGACCCGAAACCCGGUGAUCUAGCCAUGGGCAGGUUGAAGGUUGGGUAACACUAACUGGAGGACCGAACCGACUAAUGUUGAAAAAUUAGCGGAUGACUUGUGGCUGGGGGUGAAAGGCCAAUCAAACCGGGAGAUAGCUGGUUCUCCCCGAAAGCUAUUUAGGUAGCGCCUCGUGAAUUCAUCUCCGGGGGUAGAGCACUGUUUCGGCAAGGGGGUCAUCCCGACUUACCAACCCGAUGCAAACUGCGAAUACCGGAGAAUGUUAUCACGGGAGACACACGGCGGGUGCUAACGUCCGUCGUGAAGAGGGAAACAACCCAGACCGCCAGCUAAGGUCCCAAAGUCAUGGUUAAGUGGGAAACGAUGUGGGAAGGCCCAGACAGCCAGGAUGUUGGCUUAGAAGCAGCCAUCAUUUAAAGAAAGCGUAAUAGCUCACUGGUCGAGUCGGCCUGCGCGGAAGAUGUAACGGGGCUAAACCAUGCACCGAAGCUGCGGCAGCGACGCUGAUGCGUUGUUGGGUAGGGGAGCGUUCUGUAAGCCUGUGAAGGUGUGCUGUGAGGCAUGCUGGAGGUAUCAGAAGUGCGAAUGCUGACAUAAGUAACGAUAAAGCGGGUGAAAAGCCCGCUCGCCGGAAGACCAAGGGUUCCUGUCCAACGUUAAUCGGGGCAGGGUGAGUCGACCCCUAAGGCGAGGCCGAAAGGCGUAGUCGAUGGGAAACAGGUUAAUAUUCCUGUACUUGGUGUUACUGCGAAGGGGGGACGGAGAAGGCUAUGUUGGCCGGGCGACGGUUGUCCCGGUUUAAGCGUGUAGGCUGGUUUUCCAGGCAAAUCCGGAAAAUCAAGGCUGAGGCGUGAUGACGAGGCACUACGGUGCUGAAGCAACAAAUGCCCUGCUUCCAGGAAAAGCCUCUAAGCAUCAGGUAACAUCAAAUCGUACCCCAAACCGACACAGGUGGUCAGGUAGAGAAUACCAAGGCGCUUGAGAGAACUCGGGUGAAGGAACUAGGCAAAAUGGUGCCGUAACUUCGGGAGAAGGCACGCUGAUAUGUAGGUGAAGUCCCUCGCGGAUGGAGCUGAAAUCAGUCGAAGAUACCAGCUGGCUGCAACUGUUUAUUAAAAACACAGCACUGUGCAAACACGAAAGUGGACGUAUACGGUGUGACGCCUGCCCGGUGCCGGAAGGUUAAUUGAUGGGGUCAGCGCAAGCGAAGCUCUUGAUCGAAGCCCCGGUAAACGGCGGCCGUAACUAUAACGGUCCUAAGGUAGCGAAAUUCCUUGUCGGGUAAGUUCCGACCUGCACGAAUGGCGUAAUGAUGGCCAGGCUGUCUCCACCCGAGACUCAGUGAAAUUGAACUCGCUGUGAAGAUGCAGUGUACCCGCGGCAAGACGGAAAGACCCCGUGAACCUUUACUAUAGCUUGACACUGAACAUUGAGCCUUGAUGUGUAGGAUAGGUGGGAGGCUUUGAAGUGUGGACGCCAGUCUGCAUGGAGCCGGCCUUGAAAUACCACCCUUUAAUGUUUGAUGUUCUAACGUUGACCCGUGAUCCGGGUUGCGGACAGUGUCUGGUGGGUAGUUUGACUGGGGCGGUCUCCUCCUAAAGAGUAACGGAGGAGCACGAAGGUUGGCUAAUCCUGGUCGGACAUCAGGAGGUUAGUGCAAUGGCAUAAGCCAGCUUGACUGCGAGCGUGACGGCGCGAGCAGGUGCGAAAGCAGGUCAUAGUGAUCCGGUGGUUCUGAAUGGAAGGGCCAUCGCUCAACGGAUAAAAGGUACUCCGGGGAUAACAGGCUGAUACCGCCCAAGAGUUCAUAUCGACGGCGGUGUUUGGCACCUCGAUGUCGGCUCAUCACAUCCUGGGGCUGAAGUAGGUCCCAAGGGUAUGGCUGUUCGCCAUUUAAAGUGGUACGCGAGCUGGGUUUAGAACGUCGUGAGACAGUUCGGUCCCUAUCUGCCGUGGGCGCUGGAGAACUGAGGGGGGCUGCUCCUAGUACGAGAGGACCGGAGUGGACGCAUCACUGGUGUUCGGGUUGUCAUGCCAAUGGCACUGCCCGGUAGCUAAAUGCGGAAGAGAUAAGUGCUGAAAGCAUCUAAGCACGAAACUUGCCCCGAGAUGAGUUCUCCCUGACUCCUUGAGAGUCCUGAAGGAACGUUGAAGACGACGACGUUGAUAGGCCGGGUGUGUAAGCGCAGCGAUGCGUUGAGCUAACCGGUACUAAUGAACCGUGAGGCUUAACCUUACAACGCCGAAGCUGUU
rnacentral:rRNA from 5 species